UCUAGUAUUUCAGCAGUUAGGAUGGAUUACAGAUUCAUUGAAUUUUGUUUUGAGUGAGAACUUGUUUUAUGAUUUGGAUUUCUCAAACUAUAAACUGUAAACCACUCCUGUGAUCUUCCUCGUUAGGUUACUAAUUGAUCCAUUUUCAAUGCAGCUAGCAUAUCUGCCUGAUAAAAAACGGGAAUAUGUGAUUGAUGAUGAUGCUCUAAGUCAUGCUUCCGAGCUUUCAGUGGAAGGAAGAGAUGAUAUAACUAAUCUUGAUGAGUUGGUCAAGGAUUACAAAAGAAACAGAAGACGUGGAAUGCUCGGAUGGUUUAAACUGAAAGGUCUUAGUUACUCUCCAGAGAUGUAGCAAAAAGUAACUAAAACAUUUUCUGGAGCAUGGAGAAUGAGAGUAGCUCUUGCCUGUGCCCUUUUCAUUUCACAAUAUAAUGGACUGGCAUUCCUUUGAUUCCAAAGUUGGAGAUAGGCUACACACAUCAAUGGAUGUCAGUUAGUGAAUCCAGCGCUCAAGAGUUGGAGAGUUCCAUGAAAGUUUUGACAAAAGUGGACUUGGACUUGGCAUAUUCUGCUGAGAAGUUGGCAAAUCUACAGGAGCUUAUGAUGCGCCUAUUCUCUCAAGAAAAUGAUCUUGAAGCAAUGGCCACCGCAAAUAACUAUAUCAUGAGAAACUAUUGUGAUUCAGAUUUUUCUAGAUUUUGUUUUAAAAAGUUUGUCAUUUCACUAUCUAUAAGGCCAAUGUUGUGGUAUAUGGUUUUGAUUGAAAAUCUAGCAGUCUUUUUCCUA